rnacentral:rRNA from 1 species
GACGAACGCUGGCGGCGUGCUUAACACAUGCAAGUCGAACGGAAAGGCCCUGCUUUUGUGGGGUGCUCGAGUGGCGAACGGGUGAGUAACACGUGAGUAACCUGCCCUUGACUUUGGGAUAACUUCAGGAAACUGGGGCUAAUACCGGAUAGGAGCUCCUGCUGCAUGGUGGGGGUUGGAAAGUUUCGGCGGUUGGGGAUGGACUCGCGGCUUAUCAGCUUGUUUGUGGGGUAGUGGCUUACCAAGGCUUUGACGGGUAGCCGGCCUGAGAGGGUGACCGGCGACAUUGGGACUGAGAUACGGACCAGACUGCAACGGGAGGCAGCAGUGGGGAAUAUUGCACAAUGGGCGGAAGCAUGAUGCAGAAACGCAGCGUGCGGGAUGACGGCCUUCGGGUUGUAAACAGAUUUCGCAUGUGACGAAGCGUGAGUGACGGUAAUGGGUAAAGAAGCACCGGCUAACUACGUG